AGAUUAAGUUAUUAAGGGCGCACGGUGGAUGCCUUGGCACUAGAAGCCGACGAAGGACGUUACUAACGACGAUAUGCUUUGGGGAGCUGUAAGUAAGCUUUGAUCCAGAGAUUUCCGAAUGGGGAAACCCAGCACGAGUUAUGUCGUGUUAUCGAUAUGUGAAUACAUAGCAUAUCUGAAGGCAGACGCGGAGAACUGAAACAUCUUAGUACCCGCAGGAAGAGAAAGAAAAAUCGAUUCCCUGAGUAGCGGCGAGCGAAACGGGAAGAGCCCAAACCAAUGAGCUUGCUUGUUGGGGUUGUAGGACACUCUAUACGGAGUUACAAAAGAACAGACUAGACGAAUCAUCUGGAAAGAUGAAUCAAAGAAGGUAAUAAUCCUGUAGUCGAAAGUUUGUUCACUCUUGAGUGGAUCCUGAGUACGACGGAACACGAGAAAUUCCGUCGGAAUCUGGGAGGACCAUCUCCCAAGGCUAAAUACUCUCUAGUGACCGAUAGUGAACCAGUACCGUGAGGGAAAGGUGAAAAGUACCCCGGAAGGGGAGUGAAAUAGAACUUGAAACCGUGUGCUUACAAGUAGUCAGAGCCCGUUAAUGGGUGAUGGCGUGCCUUUUGUAGAAUGAACCGGCGAGUUACGAUUUGAUGCAAGGUUAAGCAGUGAAUGUGGAGCCGUAGCGAAAGCGAGUCUGAAUAGGGCGUUGAGUAUUUGGUCGUAGACCCGAAACCAGGUGAUCUACCCAUGACCAGGUUGAAGUUCAGGUAACACUGAAUGGAGGACCGAACCGACUUACGUUGAAAAGUGAGCGGAUGAGUUGUGGGUAGCGGAGAAAUUCCAAUCGAACCUGGAGAUAGCUGGUUCUCUCCGAAAUAGCUUUAGGGCUAGCCUCAAGUGAUGAUUAUUGGAGGUAGAGCACUGUUUGGACGAGGGGCCCUUAUCGGGUUACCGAAUUCAGACAAACUCCGAAUGCCAAUCAAUUUAACUUGGGAGUCAGAACGCGGGUGAUAAGGUCCGUGUUCGAAAGGGAAACAGCCCAGACCACCAGCUAAGGUCCCAAAAUAUAUGUUAAGUGGAAAAGGAUGUGGCGUUGCCCAGACAACUAGGAUGUUGGCUUAGAAGCAGCCAUCAUUUAAAAAGUGCGUAAUAGCUCACUAGUCGAGUGACACUGCGCCGAAAAUGUACCGGGGCUAAACAUAUUACCGAAGCUGUGGAUUGUCCGUAAGGACAAUGGUAGGAGAGCGUUCUAAGGGCGUUGAAGCAUGAUCGCAAGGACAUGUGGAGCGCUUAGAAGUGAGAAUGCCGGUGUGAGUAGCGAAAGACGGGUGAGAAUCCCGUCCACCGAUUGACUAAGGUUUCCAGAGGAAGGCUCGUCCGCUCUGGGUUAGUCGGGUCCUAAGCUGAGGCCGAUAGGCGUAGGCGAUGGAUAACAGGUUGAUAUUCCUGUACCACCAUUAUUCGUUUUAAGCGAUGGGGGGACGCAGUAGGAUAGGCGAAGCGUACGAUUGAUUCUACGUCCAAGCAGUGAGAUUGAGUGUUAGGCAAAUCCGGCACUCUUAAGAUUGAGCUGUGAUGGGGAGAGGAAAUUGUUUCCUCGAGUCGUUGAUUUCACACUGCCAAGAAAAGCCUCUAGCUAGAAUUGUGGUGCCCGUACCGCAAACCGACACAGGUAGUCAAGAUGAGAAUUCUAAGGUGAGCGAGCGAACUCUCGUUAAGGAACUCGGCAAAAUGACCCCGUAACUUCGGGAGAAGGGGUGCUCUUUAGGGUUAACGCCCAGGAGAGCCGCAGUGAAUAGGCCCAAGCGACUGUUUAUCAAAAACACAGGUCUCUGCUAAACCGUAAGGUGAUGUAUAGGGGCUGACGCCUGCCCGGUGCUGGAAGGUUAAGAGGAGUGGUUAGCUUCUGCGAAGCUACGAAUCGAAGCCCCAGUAAACGGCGGCCGUAACUAUAACGGUCCUAAGGUAGCGAAAUUCCUUGUCGGGUAAGUUCCGACCCGCACGAAAGGCGUAACGAUUUGGGCACUGUCUCAACGAGAGACUCGGUGAAAUCAUAGUACCUGUGAAGAUGCAGGUUACCCGCGACAGGACGGAAAGACCCCGUGGAGCUUUACUGUAGUCUGAUAUUGAAAUUCGGCACAGCUUGUACAGGAUAGGUAGGAGCCUGAGAUACGUGAGCGCUAGCUUACGUGGAGGCGUUGGUGGGAUACUACCCUCGCUGUGUUGGAUUUCUAACCCGCACCAUUUAUCAUGGUGGGAGACAGUGUCAGAUGGGCAGUUUGACUGGGGCGGUCGCCUCCUAAAGAGUAACGGAGGCGCUCAAAGGUUUCCUCAGAAUGGUUGGAAAUCAUUCAUAGAGUGUAAAGGCAUAAGGAAGCUUGACUGCGAGACUUACAAGUCGAGCAGGGUCGAAAGACGGACUUAGUGAUCCGGUGGUUCCGCAUGGAAGGGCCAUCGCUCAACGGAUAAAAGCUACCCCGGGGAUAACAGGCUUAUCUCCCCCAAGAGUUCACAUCGACGGGGAGGUUUGGCACCUCGAUGUCGGCUCAUCGCAUCCUGGGGCUGUAGUCGGUCCCAGGGUUGGGCUGUUCGCCCAUUAAAGCGGUACGCGAGCUGGGUUCAGAACGUCGUGAGACAGUUCGGUCCCUAUCCGUCGUGGGCGUAGGAAAUUUGAGAGGAGCUGUCCUUAGUACGAGAGGACCGGGAUGGACAUACCUCUGGUGUACCAGUUGUCGUGCCAACGGCAUCGCUGGGUAGCUAUGUAUGGACGGGAUAAGUGCUGAAAGCAUCUAAGCAUGAAGCCCCCCUCAAGAUGAGAUUUCCCAACUUCGGUUAUAAGAUCCCUCAAAGAUGAUGAGGUUAAUAGGUUCGAGGUGGAAGCAUAGCGAUAUGUGCAGCUGACGAAUACUAAUCGAUCGAAGACUUAAUCAAAUUUUA
rnacentral:rRNA from 1 species